rnacentral:rRNA from 1 species
AACGAACGCUGGCGGCAGGCUUAGCACAUGCAAGUCGAGCGCCCCGCAAGGGGAGCGGCAGACGGGUGAGUAACGCGUGGGAAUCUACCCAUCUCUACGGAAUAACGCAUGGAAACGUGUGCUAAUACCGUAUACGUCCUUCGGGAGAAAGAUUUAUCGGAGAUGGAUGAGCCCGCGUUGGAUUAGCUAGUUGGUGGGGUAAAGGCCUACCAAGGCGACGAUCCAUAGCUGGUCUGAGAGGAUGAUCAGCCACACUGGGACUGAGACACGCCCUAGAAUCCUACGGGAGGCAGCAGUGGGGAAUAUUGGACAAUGGGCGCAAGCCUGAUCCAGCCAUGCGGCGUGAGUGAUGAAGGCCCUAGGGUUGUAAAGCUCUUUCACCGGUGAAGAUAAUGACGGUAACCGGAGAAGAAGCCCCGGCUAACUUCGUGCCAGCCGCCGCCGUAACAC